CACAGAUGGAGCAAUGCCGUGAAGAGGAUGCCCUGCAGACUCACUGCCCACCGGCUCCCUCCCCCGCAUCCCUGCAACCCCAGAGGCGAAGAUGGCCUCAGGAGUGCAAGUAGCUGAUGAAGUAUGUCGCAUUUUUUAUGACAUGAAAGUUCGUAAAUGCUCCACACCAGAAGAAAUCAAGAAAAGAAAGAAGGCUGUCAUUUUUUGUCUCGGUGCAGACGAAAAGUGCAUCAUUGUAGAAGAAGGCAAAGAGAUCUUGGUUGGAGAUGUUGGUGUAACCAUAACUGGUCCUUUCAAGCAUUUUGUGGGAAUGCUUCCUGAAAAAGAUUGUCGCUGUGCUUUGUAUGAUGCAAGCUUUGAAACAAAAGAAUCCAGUACAGAAGAGUUGAUUUUUUUUUUGUAGGCAUGAGAACUAGCACCUCUGAAAAGUAAAAUGAUCUGUGCAACAUCCAAGGAUGCAAUGAAAAAGAAAUUUCAAGGCAUUUUAUCAGUGUGUAG
rnacentral:lncRNA from 1 species